GACGGAGGAUGCAAGUGUUAUCCGGAAUCACUGGGCGUAAAGCGUCUGUAGGUGGUUUAAUAAGUCAACUGUUAAAUCUUGAGGCUCAACCUCAAAAAUCGCAGUCGAAAACUAUUAGGCUAGAGUAUAGUAGGGGUAAAGGGAAUUUCCAGUGGAGCGGUGAAAUGCGUAGAGAUUGGAAAGAACACCGAUGGCGAAGGCACUUUACUGGGCUAUUACUAACACUCAGAGACGAAAGCUAGGGUAGCAAAUGGG
rnacentral:rRNA from 1 species